rnacentral:rRNA from 1 species
AGGUAUUGGCGGCAGCUUACCAUGCAGUCGAGCGGAACGAUACCAGCUUGCUGGUAGGCGUCGAGCGGCGGACGGGUGAGUAAUACUUAGGAAUCUACCUAGUAGUGGGGGAUAGCUCGGGGAAACUCGAAUUAAUACCGCAUACGACCUACGGGAGAAAGGGGGCAGUUUACUGCUCUCGCUAUUAGAUGAGCCUAAGUCGGAUUAGCUAGAUGGUGGGGUAAAGGCCUACCAUGGCGACGAUCUGUAGCUGGUCUGAGAGGAUGAUCAGCCACACCGGGACUGAGACACGGCCCGGACUCCUACGGGAGGCAGCAGUGGGGAAUAUUGGACAAUGGGGGAAACCCUGAUCCAGCCAUGCCGCGUGUGUGAAGAAGGCCUUUUGGUUGUAAAGCACUUUAAGCAGUGAAGAAGACUCCUCGGUUAAUACCCGUGGACGAUGACAUUAGCUGCAGAAUAAGCACCGGCUAACUCUGUGCCAGCAGCCGCGGUAAUACAGAGGGUGCAAGCGUUAAUCGGAAUUACUGGGCGUAAAGCGAGCGUAGGUGGCUUGAUAAGUCAGAUGUGAAAUCCCCGGGCUUAACCUGGGAACUGCAUCUGAAACUGUUAGGCUAGAGUAGGUGAGAGGAAGGUAGAAUUCCAGGUGUAGCGGUGAAAUGCGUAGAGAUCUGGAGGAAUACCGAUGGCGAAGGCAGCCUUCUGGCAUCAUACUGACACUGAGGCUCGAAAGCGUGGGUAGCAAACAGGAUUAGAUACCCUGGUAGUCCACGCCGUAAACGAUGUCUACUAGUCGUUGGGUCCCUUGAGGACUUAGUGACGCAGCUAACGCAAUAAGUAGACCGCCUGGGGAGUACGGCCGCAAGGUUAAAACUCAAAUGAAUUGACGGGGGCCCGCACAAGCGGUGGAGCAUGUGGUUUAAUUCGAUGCAACGCGAAGAACCUUACCUGGUCUGACAUAUCUAGAAUCUGCAGGGAUGCGGGAGUGCCUUCGGGAAUUAGAAUAACAGGUGCUGCAUGGCUGUCGUCAG